GACAGAGGGUGCGAGCGUUAAUCGGAAUUACUGGGCGUAAAGCGUGCGUAGACGGUUACGUAAGUCGGGUGUGAAAGCCCCGGGCUCAACCUGGGAAUUGCAUUCGAGACUGCGUAGCUAGGGUGCGGAAGAGGGAAGCGGAAUUUCCGGUGUAGCGGUGAAAUGCGUAGAUAUCGGAAGGAACAUCAGUGGCGAAAGCGGCUUCCUGGUCCAGCACCGACGUUCAGGCACGAAAGCGUGGGGAGCAAACAGGG
rnacentral:rRNA from 1 species